rnacentral:antisense_RNA from 1 species
AAAAACAAAGACAUGGAUUUACUGUGCAUAUUAGCAGAUCCAUACUGGAAAAUGCAUGGAGGUUUCAUAUUACCACUUACAGUUUUCAGCUCCUCAGUAGUGACAAAGCCAUCCCCAUCAUUGUCGAUUCGAUCAACAAUCUUCC